rnacentral:rRNA from 1 species
AACGAACGCUGGCGGCAUGCCUAACACAUGCAAGUCGAGCGCCGUAGCAAUACGGAGCGGCGCACGGGUGAGUAACGCGUGGGAACCUGCCCAGAGGUUCGGGACAACCGCGGGAAACUGCGGCUGAUACCGGAUGAUACCUGAGGGUCAAAGAUUUAUCGCCUUUGGAGGGGCCCGCGUCAGAUUAGGUAGUUGGUAGGGUAACGGCCUACCAAGCCUGUGAUCUGUAGCUGGUCUGAGAGGAUGACCAGCCACACUGGGACUGAGACACGGCCCAGACUCCUACGGGAGGCAGCAGUGGGGAGUAUUGGACAAUGGGGGCAACCCUGAUCCAGCUAUGCCGCGUGGGUGAUGAAGGCCUUCGGGUUGUAAAGCCCUUUCGGCGGGGACGAUGAUGACGGUACCCGCAGAAGAAGCCCCGGCUAACUUCGUGCCAGCCGCCGCGGUAAGAC